GGUGUGUAUAUAUACAUAUGUAUGCAUAUACCUGUGUGUAUAAAUAUGUAUGUUAUAUAUAUAUGCGUAUAUAUAUAUAUAUAUAUAUAUAUAUAGUGGCCAAAACUCUUACACUCUUAUUAUCUGUUGACUUCAUGUUUUUUCCUCUUCAUUAUGUUUGUAAUCAAUUUCAAAAGUUUUGUUGAUUUUUUACCUAUGUUACUUCAAAAUUGAUAUAUUGUUCAAUCUAAAACAGAUAUUAAUAAAAUUAAGGCUGUAUAAAUCUGUUAUUGAAAGUAAAAUCGUGAUUUCUGUACUUCCUGUUCAUUAGCCAAUCAACAUUGUAACAGGAUCAUUCCUCUUUAAGUAACUAAUUAUUGUUGAAGCCCAAUCAUACUAGUUUCAGAGGUUGCCUAUCAUUGAUCAACGCUCUCAUUAUUUCUCGUAACUACUCAAUCAUUGAUAGUAAAGUAUUGAAUUUGCCUUCUUCACAUGUUCAGAAUAAUUGGACACCAUCUAAGCUAGUGGUUGUCAACUGGAGUCUACAUGACCCUGGGGGUGGGGAGGCAUGAAAAAAUUUGUCUUUAGAUGUUUUUACAGCAAGAAAAAUCUAUUUCUUUCUCUAAUGUUUGUAAAACAAAAUAGGAAUUUUGAAAGAAGUAUCUGUAUAAAUAGUUUUUAAACAUUGAGUAGAUAUGGGGGUUCACCAGUGUAAAGUAGUGAUGAAAGGAGUCCAUAGGUAAAAAAAAAAAACUGGUUGAGAACCACUGAUCUAAGCAAUGAAUAGAUCCUUUGAGAAUAAGUUUACACCUUUCAACAAAUAACUAGAAACAUUGUAGAACAUGGAACAAAAUGUGGCAUAAAAAAGUUUGUAAACACUUAUAAAAAAGUUGAAACUGUGGAAACUGCCAAACACAGCGAGUAGCCUAACCAACAGAUGCCAUCUCUUACUGAUCAUUGGAAGACAUCAGAAAAAAUCUUGCAAACAUUAUCAGCUUGAGGUCAGACCAAGCAAUAGAAGUAUGAGGUACAAACUCUUUAAUUUAAAACAAGACUGUCAAGAAAUGUAAUAGUGUGGUUUUAUAUCUAGUAGAAAUUGUAGCCAUAUUGAAAUUAUAAAUAGAAAUUUAAAUUUAAAGAAACUAUUUUUUGAAUGAAGUUGACAUACUUUCUCAUAAUUCAAAUGAAGCAAUUUUUCAGGUUGACAGCAUCCCCAUAUCAUUGAGCGAAAUCCAGUAUGAAAUGGUUGAAGACCAUUAAAUAAACGUUUUUACAAUGGAUUGUAAAGAACCUCAACCUUAACCUGAUAAAACAUUCAUAAUCAAGAAUGUAGACCAAUAUCAGUUUUCAGUUUGGAAAACUCAGUUGAUAGAAGCUAACAUAAUAUUGUUCUGAACACUAAUACUUAUUGUUAUACAGUACACUAAACUAUUUUGCUUUAUAUGGUGCUUCAGGUACUUGACAUUAAUGCAUUUUGCAAUAUUUAAAUGUCAAUGUUGCUUUAUUCAGUUGAAGAACAAUAUCCAUUUUAAAGUAACUUAGGUUACAGAACCAUAAAGUAUUCUUAGAAGACAGGAAGGAAAAUUAUUAUAAAUAGGAAAUGGGCACAAAGUCAACAAGCAACAACUAUGUAAGAAAAUGUUCAGAAUUUUGGCUACUGUGUGUGUGUGAGUGUAAAAUAUAUAUAGUGUAUUAAUAUGCAUGUUAUAUAUGUGUGUGUGUGUGUGUAUAUAUAUAUAUUGCAUACUGCUAACAGCAUAUGCAGAUUGCAAUCAACUGAAGGGUUCUGGAGU